UCGGGAAUUUUGGGCAAUGGGCGAAAGCCUGACCCAGCAACGCCGCGUGAGGGAUGAAGUAUUUCGGUAUGUAAACCUCGAAAGAAUGGGAAGAAUAAAUGACGGUACCAUUUAUAAGCUCCGGCUAACUACGUGCCAGCAGCCGCGGUAAUACGUAGGGAGCAAGCGUUGUUCGGAUUUACUGGGCGUAAAGGGCGCGUAGGCGGUGUGGUAAGUCACUUGUGAAAUCUCUGAGCUUAACUCAGAACGGCCAAGUGAUACUGCUGUGCUAGAGUGCUGAAGAGGCAACCGGAAUUCUUGAUGUAGCGGUGAAAUGCGUAGAUAUCAAGAGGAACACCUGAGGCGAAGGCGGGUUGCUGGGCCGACACUGACGCUGAUGCGCGAAAGCCAGGGGAGCAAAC
rnacentral:rRNA from 1 species